rnacentral:tRNA from 1 species
UCCCUGAUAGCUCAGUUGGUAAAGAAUCCACCUACAACGUGGGAGACCUGGGUUCGAUCCCUGGGUUGGGAA